rnacentral:misc_RNA from 1 species
GAAAUGCGAUAAGUAGUAUAAAUUACAGAAUUUAGUAAAUCAUCAAAUCUUUAAACGCAUAUUACGCCCCUUAGUAUUCUAUAGAGCAUACCUAUUUAAGCGUUAUUUAUACCCUUAAGCUUUACUUAGUAUUAGGCGUCUUUAUCCCGCGUUUACGCGUAGACUCGCCUAAAAGCGAUUAGCAGCUAGUAUAUUAGCCUAGGAGCGCAGCACAUUUUACGCUUCUAGUCAUACGUAUUAGCAUCUAGUAAGCAACUAUUUUUUUUACUCUUAACCUCAGAUCAGGUAGGGAUACCCACUAAACUUAAGC